rnacentral:tRNA from 2 species
GCCGCGUUCGUCUAGAGGCCCAGGACGCUACCCUCUCACGGUAGAGAUCAGGGGUUCGAAUCCCCUACGCGGUA